rnacentral:rRNA from 1 species
CACGUAGGGGGCGAGCGUCAUCCGGAUUCAUUGGGCGUAAAGCGCGCGUAGGCGGCCGCCUAAGCGGAACCUCUAACCCCGGGGCUCAACCUCGGGCCGGGUUCCGGACUGGGCGGCUCGAGUGCGGUAGAGGAGAGCGGAAUUCCCGGUGUAGCGGUGGAAUGCGCAGAUAUCGGGAAGAACACCGAUGGCGAAGGCAGCUCUCUGGGCCGUCACUGACGCUGAGGCGCGAAAGCUGGGGGAGCGAACAGG